rnacentral:rRNA from 1 species
UACGGGGGGGGCAAGCGUUGUUCGGAAUUACUGGGCGUAAAGGGCUCGUAGGCGGCCCACUAAGGCCGACGUGAAAUCCCCAGGCUUAACUUGGGAACUGCGUCGGAUACUGGUGGGCUUGAAUCCAGGAGAGGGAUGCGGAAUUCCAGGUGUAGCGGUGAAAUGCGUAGAUAUCUGGAGGAACACCGGUGGCGAAGGCGGCAUCCUGGACCGGCAUUGACGCUGAGUGAGCGAAAGCCAGGGGAGCAAACGGG